rnacentral:lncRNA from 1 species
CCGGCCCCGUCCAGAACUUCCUCCCAAGUCCACUUCUCCCGCCAGUCCAACUCGAACUCCGUCUGCUCCUUCCUCUGCUGCUUGGUCCUUUGGUGGUGGGUGAUUCUGUCACAACUGUCUUCGUCUUCUGACGAUAAUGCGAAAUCGUCAUCAGAAAAUGUGGACCAAAACGCAGCAGGUUAUCCCCACAGUGGAGUUCCAUCUACUGGACUAUGAUGGUACUGCUCUGUCUGUGAAGUAUUCAGCUCAGCGACCCGCAAACAAGAUCACAUCACCUCAACACACUCCUUCAGAUCCUUAUUGACAGUGACCCCCACUACAGGCCUGAGCUCUCCGCUACUCUUCCCAGAUAAAUGUUUCAUGAGGCAGCCCUCAUAUCACCCUCUAGAAUAACAUGUCCAAGAGAUUAUAGGAGACAUCACUCAGUCACAUUCACCUUGGACCGCAGAUCUACAUGGCC